UACGUAGGGGAGCAAGCGUUUGUCCGGAAUCAUUGGGCGUAAAGCGCGCGUAGGCGGCCCUGUAAGUCCGUUGUGAAAGUCAAAGGCUCAACCUUUGAAAGCCGAUGGAUACUGCAGGGCUAGAGUCCGGAAGAGGCGGAGUGGAAUUCCUGGUGUAAGCGGUGGAAUGCGCAGGAUAAUCAGGAGGAACACCAAUAGCGAAGGCAGCUCGCUGGGACGGUACUGACGCCUAAGGCGCGAAAGCGUGGGGAGCGAACAGG
rnacentral:rRNA from 1 species